rnacentral:rRNA from 1 species
GUGGGGAAUAUUGGACAAUGGGGGGAACCCUGAUCCAGCCAUGCCGCGUGUGUGAAGAAGGCCUUUUGGUUGUAAAGCACUUUAAGCGAGGAGGAGGCUACCGAGAUUAAUACUCUUGGAUAGUGGACGUUACUCGCAGAAUAAGCACCGGCUAACUCUGUGCCAGCAGCCGCGGUAAUACAGAGGGUGCAAGCGUUAAUCGGAUUUACUGGGCGUAAAGUGCGCGUAGGUGGCCAAUUAAGUCAAAUGUGAAAUCCCCGAGCUUAACUUGGGAAUUGCAUUCGAUACUGGUUGGCUAGAGUAUGGGAGAGGAUGGUAGAAUUCCAGGUGUAGCGGUGAAAUGCGUAGAGAUCUGGAGGAAUACCGAUGGCGAAGGCGGCGCUCUGGGCCGGUACUGACACUGAGGAGCGAAAGCGUGGGUAGCAAACAGGAUUAGAUACCCCAGUAGUCC